rnacentral:rRNA from 1 species
UACAGAGGGCGCGAGCGUUGUCCGGAAUUACUGGGCGUAAAGGGCGCGUAGGCGGCCUGUUAAGUCGAACGUGAAAUCCCCGGGCUCAACCCGGGAACUGCGUCCGAUACUGGCAGGCUUGAAUUCGGGAGAGGGAUGCGGAAUUCCAGGUGUAGCGGUGAAAUGCGUAGAUAUCUGGAGGAACACCGGUGGCGAAGGCGGCAUCCUGGACCGAGAUUGACGCUGAGGCGCGAAAGCCAGGGGAGCAAACGGG